UCCUUCUGUUCAGCUCAGUUGGUAAAGCAUGAGAUUCUUAAUCUCAAGGUUGUGGGUUCGAGGCCCACACUGGGCA